CAACAACGCCGAUGUACCCAGGAGCUUGGUCGGCAGCCGCCAUUUUGGUUGCUGAUUGUGGGUAGCUUGCGGUCACCGGAGCUUGUCAGAGCCUGUGACCUUGUGUGAUGUGGACCGGGAUGACCACCACCGGUCCAAGGGGGUGGGGGGGAGAACGUGGGCUCUGCGGUAGGUCAGCCGGGUAUAAAGGUGGCGGGAGAGCGGCUGUCUCUCCC